UACGUAGGGCGCAAGCGUUGUCCGGAAUUAUUGGGCGUAAAGAGCUCGUAGGUGGUUUGUUAAGUCUGAUGUGAAAGCCCUGGGCUCAACCUGGGAAUUGCAUUGGAUACUGGCAAGCUAGAGUGCGGUAGAGGAUGGCGGAAUUCCCGGUGUAGCAGUGAAAUGCGUAGAGAUCGGGAGGAACAUCUGUGGCGAAGGCGGCCAUCUGGACCAGCACUGGCACUGAGGCACGAAAGCGUGGGGAGCAAACAGG
rnacentral:rRNA from 1 species